AAUGGAGAAAGGGGAAUGGAGACUGGAGACUAAUCUGGAGCUGUGUGGUAUGGUUUUAAUCUGGCCUAGUGGGAAGGGAGGCGAGAUUUUACUUAUUGUGGAAUAAAUUCCAUCUGGAUGGUGGGAUAGACGAGAGAAAUAUAUAGGCUGGUGAAUAGCAGAGAAGUAAUUGCCUUUGUCUCCUUGUGAUGGUAAAUUUCGUCGAGGGGAGAUGGAGAAGGUGCGAGUACGACCGUUUAAAACGUUUAACUGUUUAUUUUGGUACAGUUUUGAUAUUUUUACAAUAUGGGAAAACAGCAGGAGAUUGUUUCGAUCCUUCGAGGAUAAUUCCUAGAGAAGGUAUCAGGCGUAGCGCGAUGGCGUAGCGCGCUUGCAUCAAUUGUCGUGCAUCCGGUGAGACAUUCUCUCGAACGGGUAGUGGGUAUAGCUGAUGGCGUACGAGGGGGCGGAGAAGCUGAAGGCUCCGAUGGCUCAGGCGGAGGCGGUCCCUAGCCCGCGACUCCCAAGGUCGAAAGAGGGGAGUUCUUCUUGGGCAGCCAUGGCAAAGGACGCUCCGAAGCAGCAUACAUGGAUUUCCCACCACAUCUCAGAGGGCGAGGUGGCGAGACUCAAGAAGCUCUUUCCGACGGUCGUGGAGGUGCCGCGUGGACCAGUUGAAGGAAUCACGGUCAGUCUG
rnacentral:lncRNA from 1 species